rnacentral:ncRNA from 1 species
AAGGUUUGGUCCUAGCCUUGAAAUCAGUUUUUACUUAAUAUACACAUGCAAGUCUCCGCACCCCUGUGAAAACGCCCUCAACCCCCUCAUGGGGGUAGGAGCUGGUAUCAGGCCCAACUUUUGCCCAAGACACCUAGCCUCGCCACACCCACAAGGGACCUCAGCAGUGAUUAACAUUGAGCAUAAGCGUCAGCUUGACUCAGUUAAAUUUUAUAGAGCCGGCCAAUCUGGUGCCAGCCGCCGCGGUUAUACCAGAAGCUCAAAUUGAUUUCUAUCGGCGUAAAGCGUGAUUAAAGUUUCAUUCCUCAUGGAGCCAAACUAAAACUAAGCUGUGACACGCCUGUUACUUAAGAAGCCCAAAGACGAAAGUUACUCCAACCCCCUCCACUUGAACUCACGACAUCUGAGAAACAAACUGGGAUUAGAUACCCCACUAUGCUCAGUCGUAAACCUUUAACUACACCCUCUCUCGCCCGGGAACUACGAGCCAAGCUUAAAACCCAAAGGACUUGACGGUACCCCACAUCCACCUAGAGGAGCCUGUCCUAUAAUCGAUAACCCACGUUUAACCUCACCAUUUUUAGCCUAUCAGCCUGUAUACCUCCGUCGUCAGCUUACCACGUGAGCGUUAGUGAGCUUAAUGUUAUUCAACCAUACGUCAGGUCAAGGUGCAACUUAUGAAAUGGGAAGAGAUGGGCUACACUUUCUAACUUAGAACAUACGAAAGAUUACCAAUGAAAAUUUGUCAGAAGGCGGAUUUAGCAGUAAACAGAAAUCAAUAAAUUCCGUUUAAUCCGGCACUGGGGUGCGUACACACCGCCCGUCACCCUCCUCUAACGCUAAACACAGUUUUUAACCUAUUUAAGCUUUUCAGAAGAGGUAAGUCGUAACAUGGUAAGUAUACCGGAAGGUGUGCUUGGAUAA